rnacentral:lncRNA from 1 species
UUACAUGUUUAGACGAUUUUUGGUGCAUUGAAUUAUUGUUUAUUUAAAAAUCUUUUUGAGGAAAGGUAUUUGGGGAUUCAAAGUUUUUUUGAGAAAGGAGAUGAUUGAGAAUCAUUAUUUUGAGAAGAGAAAUUUCUUUAAUGUCGCGUAAACGGUAUUUAACUUCACAAACAUAUUAAGUUAAAUUCAUAUUAAUUAUCGUCUUUAUUCCACUAUUUAUUAUUUUGACGAUAAUUUAUUAUAUGAUUUCUUAUUGCAUAAAUUCAUCAAAAUUUUGAAAUCAAAUUUGAUUUUUUGAUGAUUAAUUCAUCUUGGUUGUGAGUGUUGGAUAUGAUGAUUGGAUAUUCUCUAAUUGACUAAAAUUCGUCAAAAUUAUUUUCAAUUGUGAGAUUGCCUAAUUUAGGGGGAGUUUGAAAUUAUUUAAAAAUAAAAAAAAGGAGAAAAAAAAACUCCUAUAUUUAAAAGAUGUGGAAAGAGUUACAUCCUAAAAGGAGUGUGAAAACUACCACCACAUGUAGGAAN